rnacentral:tRNA from 1 species
GGGGUUGUAGCUCAAUUGGUAGAGCGCCCGCUUUGCAUGCGGGAGGCACGGGGAUCGAAGCCCUGCAGCUCCA